GAUGGGUUAGGAAUAUUAAAAUAAUGCAUUUGAUAUAAUGACCUAAUUAGUGUUAAUCUCUUUACGUGUGACCUGUUCUAACACAACUUAGUUUACGUCGUUGCCACAAGUGUUUUCACAAUAGAAAGACGACGCGUUAUUACAAUGCGUUGCCCCGCUAGAAUCUAAAGAGGUGAUGUUCCAUUUUUCUUAUUAUUUGCAUGUUUGUUUGUUUUUUGUUUCAUUUUGGACGUGAGUUCAUUCUAACGCAAGGACUUUGAAAAAGCCUGACUUUUAAGGCGACCGUGAACGCACCAUCUCUCCUGAGCGAAGAUGGGAACUUUCACCACCGAGCGAGAUGAUGACAUUUCAAGAACGAAAGAAAUCUCCGUUUCUCCGCCAAAACAUUCCUACUGGUUCGACUUGUGGCUCUUCGUUGUCUUCGACGUCGUGUUUUUCUUGGUCAUGUAUUUCAUAGUGCCAUAACACGGCGGGCCCUCAAAAUGGAGAAUGCAGACCUGGAAGCAUCCUGAUGGAGAUGUUAACCUCGCUUCGACUGAAUUUAACACUACUUGGGACGUUAGUGUGCAACAUUCCAAAUGUUCAAAAAUGGAAAUGUGCAUUUUGCACAAUUAUGACCUGAACCACAAAACUCCUCACAUUUUUCGACGAUUACGACAUGCUAUCAGGAUGAUAUUUAUUAUAAUACAUAUAUACUCUGGGUGAUAUUUACAAUAACCUUUAUUAUUAGAAUGUUAUUGAACAUGCCAAAUGAUGACUCUUACCCUGAGAAAAACAGUGUUUGUAAACGCUGGCUUUAUUUUUGUCUCCAUCAACAACAGAAUGCCAUGAAAUGUGAAGUCCAGCAAGGCGUUUUGAUGGAAUUUGCACACGGUGAAACUCGCUUUACACACCUUGAAAAAAAUAAAGUUACUGUAAUCUA